AACCUCCGCAAUGUACGAAAGUGCGACGGGGGGAUCCCAAGUGUUAUGCUUUUUUGUAUAACUUUUCAUUAGUGUAAAAAGCUUUUAGAAUAAGAGCUGGGCAAGACCGGUGCCAGCCGCCGCGGUAACACCGGCAGCUCUAGUGGUAGCAAUUUUUAUUGGGCCUAAAGCGUCCGUAGCCGGUUUAAUAAGUCUCUGGUGAAAUCCUGUAGCUUAACUGUGGGAAUUGCUGGAGAUACUAUUAGACUUGAGACCGGGAGAGGUUAGAGGUACUCCCAGGGUAGAGGUGAAAUUCUGUAAUCCUGGGAGGACCGCCUGUUGCGAAGGCGUCUAACUGGAACGGUUCUGACGGUGAGGGACGAAAGUUAGGGGCGCGAACCGGAUUAGAUACCCGGGUAGUCCUAACUGUAAACGAUGCGGACUUGGUGUUGGGGUGGCUUUGAGCUGCUCCAGUGCCGAAGGGAAGCUGUUAAGUCCGCCGCCUGGGAAGUACGGUCGCAAGACUGAAACUUAAAGGAAUU
rnacentral:rRNA from 1 species